rnacentral:lncRNA from 1 species
GUUUUAUGAACGUCCUGCUGUGUUUAGUCUGCCGUACCUGAGAGGGUCCAUCUCACUAGCCCAGAUGGUGCCGUUACCACACACGUAUCCUGCAAGGCGGGGAUCCUAUUGACAUGUCUAACCAGUAAAACCACAGCCUCUGGCUUUCGCAAAAGGGCCUGGCACCAGAAGCAGGUGAAUUCCCUGCUGCCCACACACCCAGGGCGCCCUCCCCUCCCUGAGGUUAGAGUCUCAGGGUUUGCACUCCUCUCUGCUCCUGGGGGCCAAGUUGGGUGCUGCUGGGGCCGGGGCGUGUGCACAGGGCUGGGGGGUGUGCAUGGGGCUGGGGUGUGUGCACAGGCCUCAUAUUUAGCUCACCCCCCCACGGCCGCCCCGGGUGUAUGUGGGCCUCAUGACUUCCUUACCGGCAGAAGAAGCCAUGACUGUUGACUUUCUCUCUUCUCGUCUUGUUUCUCCUCUUCUUUAGAGAAUGGUGAUCCAUCCUGGAGGACUCUUUCCAAUCGGGCUUCUGACGGCAGUUCUGGGGAGUCUUCCCAACCAGAGCAUGCUGGUCCCCACGGGGGAUAAGAAAGAUUACAUGAACCCAUGGGUUUCCCUGAGAGCCUCAGAGUGUCUCAGAUUUUGCUGAUGUUGCUGAAAAGCUCAAGAAGCCGGGACAUCCAAAGCCAAGCGCACAGCUUUGCAAAGGCGCACAGGAGAAAUGGCGGUGCUGACCUUAAGCUCAGGGAGCCGUGCUUGCAAGCAGCCCUUCAUCCUCCCCAGGCAGGCUGGGAUCCUGGGCUCCAGGGCCUGCAGGCUUUUGAGGAACAGAAGGUGACUGGGUUCUAAAUUUCAGAAGAGCCACGGAUGCGGUACAACGCCCCCCCCCCCCCAUCUCAAGUUCAAAUUCCAUUUUUGCCAAGGUUUAGGUGUCUGACAGUCUGGUUUUGUCUACCUGCUGGGCCUUUAUUUCAUCUCUAAUAUCAAGGCGAUUCUACUAACCUCUUCACAGGGAUGAAGUCGGGAGGAGAUGGGCUAAGUACAGAGAAGGGCUUCGUGAGCUGGAAGGCAGGCCAGGCUAGAGCGAGAAUGAUUCUUUUGCUCCCUGCCUCCCCCCACCAGGCUCGCCUGCCCCUCUCCUCCCCUGGGAUUUAUGAAAGCUCAC